GAUCCUGGCUCAGGAUGAACGCUGGCGGCGUGCCUAACACAUGCAAGUCGAGCGGGGUUUUAAAGAGCUUGCUCUUUAAAACUUAGCGGCGGACGGGUGAGUAACGCGUGAGUAACCUGCCCUAUACACAGGGAUAACAUUGAGAAAUCGAUGCUAAUACGCGAUAAGCUAACAACAAGGCAUCUUGGAGUUAGGAAAGCUGAGGCGGUAUAGGAGGGGCUCGCGUCUGAUUAGCUAGUUGG
rnacentral:rRNA from 1 species